rnacentral:rRNA from 1 species
AUUGAACGCUGGCGGCAGGCCUAACACAUGCAAGUCGAACGAGUGGCGGACGGGUGAGUAAUGUCUGGGAAACUGCCUGAUGGAGGGGGAUAACUACUGGAAACGGUAGCUAAUACCGCAUACCAUCGGAUGUGCCCAGAUGGGAUUAGCUAGUAGGUGGGGUAAAGGCUCACCUAGGCGACGCUGCCUAGCUGGUCUGAGAAGAUGACCAGCCAAGUUGGAACUGAGACACGGGCCAGACUCCGAGGGGAGGCAGCCGGGGGGAAGAUUGGACAAGUGGCGCAAGGCUGAUGCAGCGAUGCAGCGUGUAUGAAGAAGGCCUGCGGGGUGUAAAGUACUGUCAGCGGGGAGGCGUUACCCGCAGAAGAAGCACCGGCUAACUACGUGCCAGCAGCCGCGGUAAUUC